UCCGAGUUGACCCCGGCAGUCUCCUACGAGUCCCCGGCAUGAUCCGCUGGCAACAUAGGACAAGGGUUGCGCUCGUUGCGGCACUUAAGCCAACACCUCACGGCGCGAGCUGACGACAGCCAUGCAGCACCUGUGCGGGCUCCCGAAGGAGCACCGUGUUUCCACGGUUUCACCCUGCAUGUCAAGCCCUGGUAAGGUUCUUCGCGUUGCGUCGAAUUAAGCCACAUGCUCCGCUGCUUGUGCGGGUCCCCGUCAAUUCCUUUGAGUUUUAGCCUUGCGGCCGUACUCCCCAGGCGGGGCACUUAAUGCGUUAGCGCCGGCACGGGGGGAGUCGACACCCCCCACACCUAGUGCCCAUCGUUUACGGCGUGGACUAC
rnacentral:misc_RNA from 1 species